rnacentral:rRNA from 1 species
AUUGAACGCUGGCGGCAGGCCUAACACAUGCAAGUCGAACGAGUGGCGGAAGGGUGAGUAAUGUCUGGGAAACUGCCCGAUGGAGGGGGGUAACUAAUGGAAACGGUAGCUAAUACAGCAUACCAUCGGAUGUGCCCAGAUGGGAUUAGCUAUUAGGUGGGGGAACGGCUCACCUAGGCGCCGAUCCCUAGCUGGUCUGAGAGGAUGACCAGCCACUCUGGAACGGAGACACGGUCCAGACUCCUACGGGAGGCAGCAGUGGGGAAUAUUGCACAAUGGGCGCAAGCCUGAUGCAGCCAUGCCGCGUGUAUGAAGAAGUCCUUCGGGUUGUAAAGUACUUUCAGCGAGGAGGCGUUACUCGCAGAAGAAGCACCGGCUAACUCCGUGCCAGCAGCCGCGGUAAUAC